GAUGAACGCUGGCGGCAUGCCUUACACAUGCAAGUCGAGCGGCCGGACGGGGUUCUUCCUGCCCUCACGUUGCCAACGGGUGGGUAAUGCACACGAACGUGCCCUGUAGUUGAGGCUAGGAUAGCGUCAGCCAGACUAAUCCCACACACGACCUUAUGGUGAAAGCCGGGGACCGAUAGUCCACGCGCGAUUUGCUCUGCCGUAGACGGAUUAGCUAGCUGGUGUGGCAAAGGCUUACCAAGGCGACGAUCCGUGGCUGGACUGAGUGGACGACCAGCCACACUGGGACUGAGACACGGCCCAGACUCCUACGGGAGGCAGCAGUGGGGAAUUUUGGACAAUGGGGGCAAACCUGAUCGAGCCAUGCCGCGUGAGGGAAGAAGGCCUUCGGGUUGUAAAACGCUGUUGUUAGGGAAGAAAACAUGUGGGCGAAUACAUGGGGGGGAUGACGGUACCGGAAGAGUAAGCAACGGCUAACUACGUG
rnacentral:rRNA from 1 species